rnacentral:misc_RNA from 1 species
AAGUCGUAACAAGGUUUCCGUAGGUGAACCUGCGGAAGGAUCAUUAUCACGUAUCCACGUACAAACCACUGCGAACUGUUCUCCCUUUUGGAGGUGCUGGGUUUGGCUUGACUAACGUCUUCUAGUCGUGAUGAAGGCUGGUCUAUGCCGUGACCAAUCAGUUUACUGAUUGAUCCGCCUGUAUCUUUGAAAGUGGUUAUUAUCACGCAACCUUAAACUUUAUUAACCCCUUUAACUUUUAUGAACUGACUUAAGCUUGACUUUAAGAGUGCCUUCGGGUAUUCUGAAUCAAGUCUUUAUUACGAAACUAAGAACAAUUCUUAACAACGGAUAUCUUGGCUCUGAUAACGAUGAAGAACGCAGC